rnacentral:rRNA from 1 species
GACGAACGCUGGCGGCGUGCCUAAUACAUGCAAGUCGAGCGAAGUUUUUCUGGUUCUUGCACUAGAAAAACUUAGCGGCGUACGGGUGAGUAACACGUAAAGAACCUGCCUCAUAGACUGGGACAACUAUUGGAAACGAUAGCUCAUACCUGAUAACAGUAUUUCUCGCAUGUGAGAUAUUUAAAAGUUGUUUAUGCUAACACUAUGAGAUGGCUUUGCGGUGCAUUAGCUAGUUGGUGGGGUAAAGGCUCACCAAGGCGACGAUGCAUAGCCGACCUGAGAGGGUGAUCGGCCACACUGGAACUGAGACACGGCCCAGACUCCUACGGGAGGCAGCAGUAGGGAAUCUUCCGCAAUGGGCGAAAGCCUGACGGAGCAACGCCGCGUGAGUGAAGAAGGAUUUCGGUUCGUAAAGCUCUGUUGUUAGGGAAGAAUGGAUAUGUAGUAACUAUACAUGUAAGAGACGGUACCUAAACAGAAAGCCACGGCUAACUACGUG